UGGCUCAGGAUGAACGCUAGCGGCAGGCUUAAUACAUGCAAGUCGAGGGGCAGCACGUCUUCGGAUGGUGGCGACCGGCGCACGGGUGCGUAACACGUAUGCAACCUACCUUUAACUGGGGAAUAGCCCCGAGAAAUCGGGAUUAAUACCCCAUAAUAUUCAUUUUUCGCAUGAUUUAUGAAUUAAAACUCCGGUGGUUAAAGAUGGGCAUGCGCGACAUUAGUUAGUUGGUGAGGUAACGGCUCACCAAGACAGCGAUGUCUAGGGGUUCUGAGAGGAAUAUCCCCCACACUGGUACUGAGACACGGACCAGACUCCUACGGGAGGCAGCAGUAAGGAAUAUUGGUCAAUGGGCGAAAGCCUGAACCAGCCAUGCCGCGUGCAGGAUGAAGGCCCUAUGGGUUGUAAACUGCUUUUAUAUAGGAAGAAACUCCCGUACGUGUACGGGACUGACGGUACUAUACGAAUAAGGACCGGCUAACUCCGUGCCAGCAGCCGGUAAUACGGAGGGUCCAAGCGUUAUCCGGAUUUAUUGGGUUUAAAGGGUGCGCAGGCGGACCGAUAAGUCAGUGGUGAAAUCCUACAGCUCAACUGUAGAACUGCCAUUGAUACUGUCGAUCUUGAGUACGGUUGAAGUAGGCGGACUGUAUCAUGUAGCGGUGAAAUGCAUAGAUAUGAUACAGAACUCCGAUAGCGAAGGCAGCUUACUAAGCCGUAACUGACGCUCAGGCACGAAAGCGUGGGGAGCAAACAGGAUUAGAUACCCUGGUAGUCCACGCCGUAAACGAUGAUCACUCGUUGUUGGCAAUACACAGUCAGCGACUGAACGAAAGCAUUAAGUGAUCCACCUGGGAAGUACGAUCGCAAGGUUGAAACUCAAAGGAAUUGACGGGGGGCCCGCACAAGCGGAGGAGCAUGUGGUUUAAUUCGAUGAUACGCGAGGAACCUUACCUGGGCUUAAAUGUAUAAUGACCGGCUGGGAAACCAGUCUUCUCUUCGGAGCAUUUUACAAGGUGCUGCAUGGUUGUCGUCAGCUCGUGCCGUGAGGUGUCGGGUUAAGUCCCAUAACGAGCGCAACCCCUAUUCUUAGUUGCCAUCAGAUAAUGCUGGGGACUCUAAGGAAACUGCCUACGCAAGUAGUGAGGAAGGUGGGGAUGACGUCAAAUCAGCACGGCCCUUAUGUCCAGGGCUACACACGUGCUACAAUGGUCGGUACA
rnacentral:rRNA from 1 species